rnacentral:rRNA from 1 species
UACAGAGGGUGCUAGCGUUGUUCGGAAUCAUUGGGCGUAAAGGGCGUGUAGGCGGUUUGUUAAGUCUGUCGUGAAAUCCCCGGGCUCAACCUGGGAAUGGCGAUGGAUACUGGCUAGCUAGAGUGUGUCAGAGGAUGGUGGAAUUCCCGGUGUAGCGGUGAAAUGCGUAGAGAUCGGGAGGAACAUCAGUGGCGAAGGCGGCCAUCUGGGACAACACUGACGCUGAAGCACGAAAGCGUGGGGAGCAAACAGG